rnacentral:rRNA from 1 species
AUUGAACGCUAGCGGGAUGCUUUACACAUGCAAGUCGAACGAGUGGCGGAAGGGAGAGUAAUAUAUCGGAACGUGCCCAGUAGCGAGGGUUAACUACACGAAAGAGAGGCUAAUACCGCAUAAUAUUGGAUCGGUCGAUAUCGGAUUAGCUAGUUGGUGGGGUAAAGGCUAACAAAGGCAACGAUCCGUAACUGGUUUGAGAGGACGACCAGGCACACUGGGACUGAGACACGGCCCAGACUCCUACGGGAGGCAGCAGUGGGGAAUUUUGGACAAUGGGCGAAACCCUGAUCCAGCCAUCCCGCGUGUAUGAGAAGGCCUUCGGGUUGUAAAGUACUUUUGGGAGAGAAGCGGUAUCUGCAGAAUAAGCACCGGCUAACUACGUGCCAGCAGCCGCGGUAAUUC